UCAAUAAAAAGUCAACAUUUUUCAGUUUUAAUAUCCGCGCCAUUUUGGUAGGCAAGGCAAACGUCAUUGAACGUUUGAGACAACAAAAAGGAAGUAUAUUAACACUCUUGACCAAUGUGCAAGAGAAUAUCAACAAAAUGGCUGCUGUCGGGAUCGACCCGUAUAAAAUGGAGAAUGGAAACAUGUUGACGAUGUGGUUAAUAGUGAACAUGGAGACGAUCAAUGUUUCAGCGCCUUUCUAAAGGACGUAGACACAGCAACCGCCUGCGGAAAUGGCUGUCAGUUACGAAGUUCAGUGGAUCACCACAACAUCCAUAAACCUCCAAAAGUUUUAAGGUUCUGAAGUGAUGGACGGUCUGAUUCUCUGGGGUUCUGGAUGCAGAAGACAUUUUUUCUUCCUGGGAAAAAUGCGCUGCUGGUUCCUACCAGGAAUCCCACAACCAGCUGGACCAAAGCCGACUCUGAGUUUAAAAGCAGAUUCAUCUGUGAGGGAAAAACUCUCACCAGGUCAUAGCAGCUUCAACAAAUCAGGAUUUCCAUCACUUUUCAUUUAAAAAGUCGUGCAGAAACUUCCUG